GCCCUUAUAGCUCAGUGGUAGAGCGCAUCACUCGUAUGCUUACUAUGCUUACGUAAGCGAAUUUCAAAAUGAUGAGGUCUAUCGUUCAAUCCGGUAUGAGGGCA
rnacentral:tRNA from 1 species